CACUGCCGAGAAAAGCCUCUAGAUAGAAAAUAGGUGCCCGUACCGCAAACCGACACAGGUAGUCAAGAUGAGAAUUCUAAGGUGAGCGAGCGAACUCUCGUUAAGGAACUCGGCAAAAUGACCCCGUAACUUCGGGAGAAGGGGUGCUCUUUAGGGUUAACGCCCAGAAGAGCCGCAGUGAAUAGGCCCAAGCGACUGUUUAUCAAAAACACAGGUCUCUGCUAAACCGUAAGGUGAUGUAUAGGGGCUGACGCCUGCCCGGUGCUGGAAGGUUAAGAGGAGUGGUUAGCUUCUGCGAAGCUACGAAUCGAAGCCCCAGUAAACGGCGGCCGUAACUAUAACGGUCCUAAGGUAGCGAAAUUCCUUGUCGGGUAAGUUCCGACCCGCACGAAAGGCGUAACGAUUUGGGCACUGUCUCAACGAGAGACUCGGUGAAAUCAUAGUACCUGUGAAGAUGCAGGUUACCCGCGACAGGACGGAAAGACCCCGUGGAGCUUUACUGUAGCCUGAUAUUGAAAUUCGGCACAGCUUGUACAGGAUAGGUAGGAGCCUUUGAAACGUGAGCGCUAGCUUACGUGGAGGCGCUGGUGGGAUACUACCCUAGCUGUGUUGGCUUUCUA
rnacentral:rRNA from 1 species